AAAGUGGAAAGUGGGUGGGAUAUUUCUUUCCCUAGCCAUAGACGUAUCCACCCCAAUUUUUCCUCCUCUCUUAUCUGAUUUUUGCUGCCCCAAAAGUCUUCACACUUUACUCAUUUUCUUGGCUGCAUCAGAUCAGAAGUCCAGCCCCUCUCUCACUACUCCUUUUCCUCUUUGUUCUUCUUUCUCUCUUCUUCUGUUGCUUCUACACGGCAGCCCUCCCUUUCUCACCAACACAAUACAUUCCUCUCUAAAGAUGAAAUUAAACAAUUAACCCUAAGGUUUCAGCUUCAAAUUGUGGUGGGUGUUACCAGUAUCCAAGUCUAAGCUCCUCCGACUUUAGGCUCUCGGUUCCUCUGCUUUCAGGUAAGGGAUAAGUUAUAUGGGCAUUUGGGCUGAGACCUUGGAAAUUGUUGAAUUCCCAAUAGUAGGCUGCAUCAGGAAUAGCAAAGUUGGGGUCAAAGAUAUAACAUUUUCAUCAAGGUAUCAUGGUCAUAAUUUCAAACCCAUUGCUAAGGAAAGCUUCGUGGUUCAACAACACCUAGUGGUUUGUCAGCUAAUUGAUGGAUCUGGUAUUUUUUUAUUUGGGUUAUUUGGUAAUACAACUACAAGAUAAGGACAAUCAGGCUUACAGUAGUGAUACUUCAAAUGAAUAUAACAUCAACUCAUCAAGUGAAUAAGGUGGUGAUUCUACAAAGUUUCAAAAAUUUGAUGUUCAAAGCGGAUGUGCAACUCACACCAACAUCUGUAAUCAAGGAAAACAAAAGGACAUUCAGUGACUACUACGAAGUAACAAAAGAAGAAGAUACAAAAAACACAUCAAAGUUGGCUUUCAAUUUAUUUGAAAUAUUAAGUAGUUCUUUAAAUUUGGGUUUCAUUCAUUUAAUGGAUAAUUGAGGAUGCAAAGGAUUUGAUUUUCCAUUUUAAUUUAAACUUAAGUUUGAUUUCUA